UACAGAGGUGGCAAGCGUUGUUCGGAAUUACUGGGCGUAAAGGGCGCGUAGGCGGCCAUCUAAGUCAGACGUGAAAUCCCCCGGCUUAACCUGGGAACUGCGUCUGAUACUGGACGGCUCGAGUUUGGGAGAGGGAUGUGGAAUUCCAGGUGUAGCGGUGAAAUGCGUAGAUAUCUGGAGGAACACCGGUGGCGAAGGCGGCAUCCUGGACAAACACUGACGCUGAGGCGCGAAAGCUAGGGGAGCAAACGGG
rnacentral:rRNA from 1 species